rnacentral:rRNA from 1 species
CCUACGGGCGGCAGCAGUAGGGAAUUUUCCACAAUGGGCGCAAGCCUGAUGGAGCAACACCGCGUGAGUGAAGAAGGGUUUCGGCUCGUAAAGCUCUGUUGUUGGAGAAGAACGUGCGUGAGAGUAACUGUUCACGCAGUGACGGUAUCCAACCAGAAAGUCACGGCUAACUACGUGCCAGCAGCCGCGGUAAUACGUAGGUGGCAAGCGUUAUCCGGAUUUAUUGGGCGUAAAGCGAGCGCAGGCGGUUGCUCAGGUCUGAUGUGAAAGCCUUCGGCUUAACCGAAGAAGUGCAUCGGAAACCGGGCAACUUGAGUGCAGAAGAGGACAGUGGAACUCCAUGUGUAGCGGUGGAAUGCGUAGAUAUAUGGAAGAACACCAGUGGCGAAGGCGGCUGUCUGGUCUGCAACUGACGCUGAGGCUCGAAAGCAUGGGUAGCGAACAGGAUUAGAUACCCGAGUAGUC